UCACAUAAAUUUUACAAAAUUUAACAUUUGCAUGAAAGAAUAAUACAUCUAUCAAGAAAAUAAGUACUGUUAAUAAGAACCAAAAAGCCAAGACAUAUAAUGAGAUGAUUUGUAACAAUACCGGAGCUACGACCGUUCAUUUUUCCGAAUGAGUGUAUAUUGGACAUUCCUUUAAAAUUUCAAUCCAAAUGACCCACAUAAUUUGCUCCAUUUACAUAUCAACAAUUCCUCGAAUCACGCUGCUCACAUCACACACACAGACACACCCUCCAUCCUGACGCAACAAUCGGUCUCCUUCAAUGGCGACCAAUCUCCAUACUCAUUGAAUUUAAGCAUAAGAGUGCAGGCUUGGAAGUUGCUACAAUAUUAAAGGCCCAUUAUUGUUUCAGGUAUGAGAAUCAAGAAUUUUAUCAAGUUUGCAAAAAUGAAAUUUGGUCAACAAAAUUUGCUUUUUGAACAAUGUAUAUGUAAGUGAUACAGUUUUAUAUGGUCUUGAAAUAACAUUACUCUUAAUUCUAAGAUAGCAAUGCAAUGAAUAAUACAAGAAGUUUCAACUUUGUUCAAAAUCCUUUCUCUACAACAUAUAAAGUGCCAAUAGUACACUUGCCGCUGUGACUAUGUGACUAUUUUACAUUGUCACGUAAAUUUCCCUAUUUUACAUUUGGAGCAAGAGUGGCACACAUUUUGUUGUUUGCACUAUAAACCAACUUACAAAUAUAACCCCCACUGUAUUCCUUAUUUUACUUUUGCACAUAUUCAAAAUUCCAUUUGAGGAAUCAUUAAUCAUUAAUAAAAAUAUUUGUAAAACUUGUAUGUAUCUGUGUCAAAUUUGUUUGACACUUAAUGUAUAAUUUGGUCCAAAGU